rnacentral:lncRNA from 1 species
AUUGUUAUAUAUUAAUUUUAUUAUGGAAAAAAUUGAGAAUCACAUACACAUUAUCUUCUCUUUAUGAAUUCGGCUAAAAUAAUAUUUAAAUCACGUGAUGUUUAUAAGUCCAAGGCAUUCAUUAGUAAAUGGUAUGGUAAUGGGGAAGAGUGAGGACCACAAACAGAUUCUGAAUCAAACGUUGGCCAACCUCCCCAUUAUUUGAAGUCGCAACAAAAGUUGUUGCAUGUGGGCCUAUUUUUGGAAAUUAAAUUAUUGGAGGUCUGGACGGACAUCACAUGGCUAUUGGGUCAUUUGAUUCCAAUUUCACUUCUUGCCCACGUAACUCGUCUGCGGCUUCUCGAAGUGUAAAUGGCCAAGAGUAAGGUCACUGUCGCACUUGAAAAAUCAAAAUGAUGCCAAUAACUUAUCGGUUGAAUUAUUUAAUUACUUUCUGUUUCUGAUUACAUUUUAAUUGAGAAUUUUUAUUUUUAUUGUUUUAAAUUUGAGAGUUUAUUUAUUUAUUUAAAUU